AAAGCAGGUCUGCAAUUACAGUACUCCAAUCAGUGGGUGUGCUGUCAUUAAUCCUGCURAGAGUAACAUUCUGCUUUGGAGUUCACACUCACAUCACCUGUGAUUGGGAUUCUCUUUAGUAUUGACAGUG